UCACUACUUGCGUAGGCAGUCUUCUUAGAGUGCCCAGCAUUACCUGUUGGCAACUAAGAACGAGGGUUGCGCUCGUUGCGGGACUUAACCCAACACCUCACGGCACGAGCUGACGACAGCCAUGCAGCACCUGUGCAAGCUCACCUUGCGGUACCCUGACUUUCAUCAGGUUUAGCUUGCGUUUCAAGCCUAGGUAAGGUUCUUCGCGUUGCGUCGAAUUAAACCACAUGCUCCACUGCUUGUGCGGGCCCCCGUCAAUUCCUUUGAGUUUCAACCUUGCGACCGUACUCCCCAGGCGGAGUGCUAAAUGCGUUAACGACGGCACCGCAGGGGUCAAUACCCGCGACACCUAGCACUCAACGUUUACGGCGUGGACUAC
rnacentral:misc_RNA from 1 species